UACGAGGGGUGCAAGCGUUGCUCGGAAUUAUUGGGCGUAAAGGGUAGGUAGGUGGUCUUAUUUGUCAGGGGUGAAAGCCUUGGGCUUAACCCAAGAAGUGCCCCUGAAACGGUAAGACUAGAAUCUUGGAGAGGCGAGCGGAAUUCCCGGUGUAGCGGUGAAAUGCGUAGAGAUCGGGAGGAACAUCAGAGGCGAAGGCGGCUCGCUGGACAAGUAUUGACACUCAACUACGAAAGCGUGGGGAGCAAACAGG
rnacentral:rRNA from 1 species